rfam:Oryza glumipatula chromosome 6, whole genome shotgun sequence.
UUUAAGUGCAACCAUAAAUUUUUGUGCCCAACUUUGAUCGUCUAUCUUAUUUAAAAAAAUUUAAACUUAGCAUUUUUGUUGUUAUGAGAUGAUAAAAUAUGAAUAGUAUUUUAUACGUGACUUAAGUUUUUAAUUUUUUUAAAAAAAAAUCAAAUAAGACAGACGGUCAAAGCUGUGCACGAAAAAUUAUGGCUGCACAUUAA